rnacentral:lncRNA from 1 species
CAAAUUUUGUUGGUAAUUCUAUGUAUCACAGCUCAUACGAGUAAUCGUUGUUGGAGAAGUUGAGUCAUUCCACGUACUAAUCCUUCCAACCCUUCUUGCUUCUUUGCACUGACCGGCAAAACAGCUACCCCUUUCGUAGUUCUUUCAACAAUAGCCUUAAGCAAAAGUAGGUCUUGCUCAGCUGCUGUAUCGGCUUUAUUAGCGAUUACGAGAGCUACCUUAUUAAUUAAAUUUUUUUCGUACUUAUUCAGCUCAUCCCAAAGCAAUUGAAAAGCCUGAUCUGCUGGAAUUUUAGCCUUUGGGUUUAUAUCAAUUACCAGGCAAAGCAUCUUUGCACGUUCUACAUGCCUUAAAAAAUCGUAACCCAAUCCUUUUCCAUCACUUGCCCCUUUAAUAAUUCCGGGUAUAUCUGCUAAUCGGUACUGGAAAGAUGAGUGGUCGUCGGGCAUCGUAGUUUUAAUAGUCCCAAUUUUAGGAUAUAUAGUUGUAAACUCAUACUCUCCUACCUUUGAUUUUGAAGCGGUUAAGCAAUUUAAUAGCGUACUUUUUCCAGCAUUUGGAAGUCCUACUAAGCCGAUCUCGCAAAUAGUUUUCAACUCUAAUUCAAUCAAUUUUUGCUCCCCUGUCAAUCCCUUCGUAGCAAAUUUUGGUGAUCUAUUGUUUUCACUUAAAAAAUGUACAUUUCCAAGUCCUCCAACUCCUCCAUAACAAAGGAUCUGAGGUGUUGUAUCACAUUCUUCCAAACUAUAUUCUGCAGCUCCAGAAAUCAUCGAUGAAGCUCGAUAGUACAACAGCUCUUUUCCAUGUCUUGUAGCUUCAGAGACAAAUGAUAUUUGUCCUUUUUUUAGCUUUGGUGGCUUCGUCUUUCCUGGCAUUUGAACCCAUUCUAAACUUUGUUCAGAUCGUACAGCUGAAAUUUCUCGAAUAACCGUUCCAGGAGGUACAUAAAGUAUUACAGACUUCCCACAACUCCCAUGUCGAUUCCCUCCUUUACCAUUAGUCCCAUUUGAAGCUUUGUGAAUUUGUGAAAGAUGAGACAAGUUAUUGAAAGAACCUGGCUUGACAGCAACGUAAACAGAACCUCCAUCACCUCCGUUUCCUCCAUCCGGAGGCCCGUAUGGACGAAACUUUUCUUUAAUAAAUGAAGAACAGCCUUGCCCUCCAUCCCCGCCUUGAAUGCGAAUCCUUAUUUUAUCUUGAAACUUCUAUUACACAAUUAGCAAAAAGGAAAUUUCUUUUAAACAAAAUAAUAGUUAAACCAUACCGGUUGAGUCGCUUCUGUUUGAUAUGAAGAAGCACGUAUAAAUAGACAUGGUUGAAUUCUGCUUAUUGAUGUUCUCAAUGAAAGCAUGUCAGAAGGAACCAACGAUUUUAUUUUUUUCUUAUUCUCAGAAAGUGGGUUAAUAAUCUUCAGCUCGUACUAAUACUUUCGUUGAACUGUUUUGCGUAUCUAAUAUGUUUACUUUACCUAUUUCUCUUAAUGAAUAUUAUAGCACGUUUUAUUACUAUAAAAGGAUCGUAUAUCUUAGAUGUCUCACAGCUGAAAUUGUUUAUUACUAUGAAAAAAUUUAAAGUUAACUGCCAAACAUUACAAAACGUCUUUGGAAAUUAACAGUUUUUAAAUUUCUUCAACAAUUACGAGUAUUUGAAAUCUCAAAGGCUUCUAAAUUAAUGUUAAAUAUUGCACUCUCAAGGCUAGCAGCACCUUUACAAUUUUUUAAAGAACAAUAAAAUUAAUUUUCGUCAAUUAGUUUCAUAAAAAUAUAUAGCAGUUAUUUACAAUGCAUGGCUGUUAGUAAGUAAUUGCUGCUAAAUCAUAUGUUGGAAAACGUAUAGCGUUGAAAAAGAGAAGAAAACAAGAGAAUGCUUAAAAUAACGCAUAAGAAUAAGGAGGAACACGCUUUACUGUUUCUACAAAUACAAUAUCGUGCCAAUAAUUCCAACCUAAGUUUACAAGCAAUUCUUUCUCUUCUGACAGAAGUUUUGCAACGUCCAUUUUUCCGGAAUUUCCAUUUUCCUUCAAUAGUUCCAAAAGCGCUUUCAACGCCAACCCGUACUGAUUCUGACUUUUGUAAUAAUCUUUCUUGAUUUGCCAUACUCGAGGAUCGGAGUUUUCAAGCCAAUUCAAAAGUAACUGAUAGUUCUGAAAAUAAUUAUCUUUGUCCUUGUGACCUUGUGUGCUAAAUGUUUCACACUUAACCACUAAAGCACGGAUGAAAGCAUCUCUCUGCAGUGCCAUUUUCUUUUCUAACACGACAUCUCGAGGUAUCGUAUCUUCGACCUUCUGUUGACAACUGUAGUAUCUGGACAAGGCUUCAGUGUCAAUUAAGGAGAGGAUGGAAUCUGCAGUAGAUAAACGUUCAUUGGUUUCUUUAACAAUAUCCAAUUUAGCAAGCUGAACUUCAAGGCUGUUUUUAUAAGAAGAUUGCAAAUACUUCAAGUGCUUCUCUUUUUCUUGGUCUGCCAAUUUCGACAACAAAUCAACUUGUAAUUGAACAAUAUUGGCACAUUUUUCGCCUAAUUUUGUAUCCUCUUUAGUCGAUAUCUUAGGAGGCAAAACCAAUGUUACUGGAACGGUACCCUUUUCACAAUCUCCAAAUUUUAAUUCACCAGUUAAAAGCGAAUUUUCUUUGAGUUCGGAUGCAUAUUGUUCUCCUUCGAUAUUAGUACCAACAACGAAGCUUUCAAC